rnacentral:rRNA from 1 species
AUUGAACGCUGGCGGCAGGCCUAACACAUGCAAGUCGAGCGAGCGGCGGACGGGUGAGUAAUGUCUGGGAAACUGCCUGAUGGAGGGGGAUAACUACUGGAAACGGUAGCUAAUACCGCAUACCAUCAGAUGUGCCCAGAGGGGAUUAGCUAGGAGGUGGGGUAACGGCUCACCUAGGCAACGAUCCCUAGCUGGUCUGAGAGGAUGACCAGCCAGACUGGAACUGAGACACGUUCCAGAAUCCUACGGUCGGCAGCAGUGGGGAAUAUUGCACAAUGUGCGCAAGCCUGAUGCAGCCAUGCCGCGUGUAUGAAGAAGGCCUUCGGGUUGUAAAGUACUUUCAGCGGGGAGGCGUUACCCGCAGAAGAAGCACCGGCUAACUCCGUGCCAGCAGCCGCGGUAAUAC